rnacentral:lncRNA from 1 species
AGAACACAUUUUAGUUUUUGCGUAUAUGCGUAUAAAGUUAUCUUUUGUAUAUUAAAGUAUUAUUGUGCACUAAAAUGGAAUGUACUCUAAGUUGAACUUACAAUAAAUUCAUAUGGUUGUAACUUAUAGGGUGCGUUUGGUUCACGCUAUCUUUUUAAGAUUCCUAGUAAUCCAAUAGCAAUAAAAAAAUAUGACGGUAUUUCGCUAAACGCACUAAGUAAUCUAAUUGGUAAUAUAGAUUUAUUUGGGAAUAAGAUGCAUCCCAAAGUACUAAUCUUAUUCCUUUGAGGGAAGGUGGUUAUUCUUAUAUUAAUGGAUUGGAGUAAUUAUAAUAUGUCUAAUCUCUUUCUUUCUCCCUACCCGCCGGAUAGUUAGUAUUAUUUUCUUUACACUCUAACUUCGUAUCUCUCUCUGAACUUUUUUUUUCUCUCUCUAAACUUCAACUCUUUUUCUCUCUCUAAAUUAAGCUAUUUCUUUCUCUCUUUUUCUAAAAUCCCAACCCUCUCAUUCUCUCUAACCUCGACUCUAUUUCUCUUCCUAUUUCUUUAAUUAUGCUCUAUUUCUAACCUAUAUUCUCUAUCUUUUUUCUGUUAAAAGAUGUUGAAAUUUUUUAUAGUAUUAUUUAAAAUUAAUUAAAUAAAUAAAUAAAUAAAUUGUAAUUUUUUGUAAUUUUAAAUAAUAUGACUAAAUAAUAUGACCGUACAAACCAAACACCGAAAUACUACAUUCUUAGUAAUAGGAUGAAUAGGAAUAAGAUUCUCGAAUAUCUUUUUACUCCUAAUAAUCUUUCAUAGUGCGAACCAAACGCGCCGAUAAAAUUAUUUGAUUAAGAAAUACGUGCUUUUGAUACAUGGAAGGAAGUGUUCAUCUUAUGGAAUAUAACCGCUAUAAUAAAAGUAUUGUGAUUGCUUGGUCGAGUGGAAGACUUUGACUGUAUAAUUUAGUUUGUACCUAAUAAAAUUUUGUAUCACCUAUACGGUAAUGAAUAUAUCAUUAGGCCAAGUAAAAAAAUAUUGGAUGUGACCUAGGCAAUUUAUUCGAGGCGAUUUAUAAAGAUUCGAUAGAUCUAAUGAUUAGGAUGUAUCAUGAUACGUUCUUGAUAGAUGGACGUGAUUUAACAUUCUUACAUCAAGUUAUAUAUAAAUAUAUAACAUACAGGAGUCCCGAUCUAAUCCUUAUCAUAUUUUCUGUGACGGCUCCAUCUCCGGAGAGAAGGGAAUCAGACUCGAAAAGUCUCGCUCUCUUACAGAUCGUGAACGAGGAUGAACCACAAGUAAGGAUCGUCGUUUACAAUCUAGGUAUAGAAAUUAAAAUCAUAACAGAAGAUAUGAUCUCAACUUUUAUAAAGUUUAACAAGAGGAUCUUGAUAAUAGCUUUUCUUCAAGUUUCGUUAUUUUUCUUACAGUAUUUAUAUGAUUUUAGUAAUACUUGCCUCAAUGCUUAUAAGCUUGAUUUAGUUUAGUCUGUGUUUAGUCUGUGUUUAGGUUUGGGACCGCUCUUGAUAAUUUCUCCUUUUCUUUUAUUUAGUUACGUGAGGAGACCGUUAUCUUUUUUUAUUGUUUUUUUUAAGUUUAAGUUUGGCAUUUAGUUUCAUUGUUUUCAUUCCAUUUCUUUGACAUGAGAUGUUCUCAGGCCAUUAAUUGUUUGCUUUGAAAUCAAGCUCUAUAUUUUAAAUGAAAAUUCGCGUGAUUUUUUUGUUAAGACACAUCCAAUUCUCCUGAUUUGAGGUCAAAUUUGUCAGAAAUUCUUUUGUUACUGGUUAUACAGUAGUAGUCCCAAAAUUUUCCUCCUCAAACUCAGAUAUAACAUCUUUAUUUCCAUACAACAAGGAAGAAAUAAAAUUGAGUUGAACUCAUAUAUAGACUUUAUUUAAAAUUAUGAACAGAUUGCUAUUGCAUAUGAUGAGAAGUUACGAUAAGAAUUUACUUUUGGUUCGAUAUAUUUAGCAUUAUAUUUCACGAUGAGCCAGUUAUAAUAUACUUUCUACAGUCUCAACAAAAAACUGAAAAGUAUAUAUCCUUGUAUACUUUCGCUCUGAUUUAAUUUUUGCAUAUUAAAGUUAGAUAAUUCUCAAUACCAAGCAGACCCUUAAUCCAUAGAAAAACUUUAUUUCUAAAAAUAUUCAAACUAAAUUUCAACGAAUUCUACUAAGAUUUGUCACCGAGCGGAGUGUUAAUGUAAUAUGUAAUAAAACAGACGAUUCCUUUUUUUGCUGUAAUUAAAACAACAUAAUUAGAUGUUCAUUUUUUCAACAAAUUUUAAAUUUUCAAAAGAGUUUAAUUACAUUGAAGCUGAAAGAGCCGAUUGGCAGUUGGGAAAGCUGAAAGAGCCGAUUGGCAGUUGGGAGUAGUACAGGGACCAUCCGUAUAUUUUACCCAAAAAGGAGGAAAAAAAAAUUCCCAGAGUCAUGCUGUCGCCUGGGAGGACCUUCCCUUGCGUAUGACCCAAGCAUUCAUUCUUUACUCGCCCCUCUCACCACCGAAACCCUUCCGUUAGAAGAACAACUUACGCAGCAGCUCUAACCCCACAGCUUUACUUUACCACAUAUAUAUAUAUAUAUAUAUAGAGUGAACUAGAAUACUAUCGAUAGCAAAUCGGUUUUUUUGCCACCUAUUUGUUUUCGAUAAUGGAGCCUCCAAAUUGAUGAUCGGCACCGUUGAACAUGAUCUAUACCAUUUGAAGUAUUUAGAAAUCAAAUUUUAUAUAUUUUCGAUAUUGUUCUCUUAUCCAUCGAGUGGACACAAGAAUGAACAGCUGAAAAUAAAUAUUCUUAAAAAAAUGAUGAUAGGAGUCUUGUAAUCAAGAUCAAGAAUAUAGAUCUUGUUUUAAAUAGUUUAAAAAAUUUUCUAACAAAAAUUCAAUUGAUGUGGAUAUCUUUACGCCGUUAAACGAAAAAACGCUUCAUAUCGACCUUUAAAAUUACAAAUUUUGAAACCCUUUGAUCAUUAGGCAAAUGAUGUCGAAAAGAUUUGAAAUUUGAUUUCUAAACACUGCAAGUGGUAUAGAUCAUAUUCAAUGGUGCCGAUCGUCGAUUUGGAAGCUUCAUCAUCGAAAACAAAUGGGUGGCAAAAGAGCCCGUUUGCUACCGAUAGUAUUCUAGCUCAACUAUAUAUAUAUAGUAGAGCUACUAUACUAUUAGAAACAUAAAGUAGUUGGUGCUUCCGAUUUUUUAACCCUUAGAUCAAUCACAUUGAUCAUUUCUAACUGUUGGGUUAAUAUUAUUAACCAAUGGGGACCACUCAACUCUAGGGGGACAUCUCAAUCCUAAAAAAACUGCUAUCAUCCUAACCGUAGAAUUUUUAAUAUAAGGGCUAAAAAAUAGGAAGUACGAAUUACUUUAUGCUUCCAUAGUAUAGUAGCGCUCUCUCUCUCUAUAUAUAUAUAUAUAUAUAUAUAUAUAUAUAUAUAUAUUUUAAGAGAUUAAUUUUUUCCUUUUUGAAUACUAUUGGAGCAAAUGGUAUUGUGCCACGUGGCAGAUCAGCCCUGUUCAGCGCAGCGGUUCCCGGCCCAAUAAGCUUCUUCAGUAGGAGAGAAAGUAGCUGGCCUGCUCAACGCCAUCCCGUUUGUCCCCACCCCCCACAAUCUCUGGAUCGCUCGCCGAUAUCUCGUCCCGAUUAUCUCAUCUCGAGGCUGAAAUGACUUUAUUGCCCUCCUGCCUGCUCAGCGUCGAGCGUCGACGAAAAGCUCGGGAGGGCAUAUUAGUCAAUAGGUGCGCCGUAACCUGAUGGUAACGUGGAACGUCAGAUAGCAUGCCUUAUCGAAGCAAAAAAACCAGCGCGUGCACCUGGUCCACCACGUCAUCAUGUACUCUUCUCAUAUAUGAGAAUUAUGGAACCGUAUAACUUGUCUGUAGUUGCUAUUACAUGAGAGAUUAAAUUAAAUUAAAGCUUUUUUUUCUUGAAUUGUGAUAUUGACACUCAGUUAUUAUAUCUAAAAUUAUAUGGGGACGUUCUACUGUAGUAGAUAAAACUAUGCCUACAUCAGUUAUGGUUUUAAUUACAAUAAUUAAUAGUAAAUUUAAAUAAAAGAUAAACUUAUCUAUCUAAUUAUUUCUUAAAGAAAAAGAAGAAAUUUAAUUCUCCAAUUUUCACUGGUAUAAUAUCACAAUUCCAUAUAUAAAAUAACAAAAUUUACAAAUAUAAUAAUGUAAUUGCAAACAAUCAAAAUAAAUUAUUUACAUAUGCAAUACUUUCGAAUAUAUUUAAUUCACUACAUAUAAUCAAAAAAAUUAUUCUAUAUCUACUGUACUUUUUAUUACUAUCACUGUAAUAAUACAUGUGUCUAGCUCCACACUUAUAUUCGUAACUACUUCUAAUGAGUCACACAAAAACAAAAAACAAAAAAAACCAAAUGUAUAUAACUGACCUGGAUGGUCCACGGUGACGUGGUGGACUAGAUUCAAGAAAUAGUUUCUCAGGUGGGUCCCGUGUUAGAUCGAACGGUGGAGAGCCACGCAGCAGGUGAGAUGGGGUGUGCGCCCGUUGGACGAUAUCGUGUCGCGCGUGGUGUCGGGGGAAUAUGGGGCGAGGACUAGGAGUGAAACAAGGCGAUAUAAAAAGAAGGGGGACAGGGACAGGACGAACCCCAGUAAUGCGCCUCCCUUUCUCUCUCUCUCUCUCGAUCUUGGGCCACCUCCACAGUAGAGAUCGAAGAGAGAGAGAGAGAGAGAGAGAGAGAGAGGUGUCGCUCUCUCUGCUUCGUCCCUCACGAGAACCCCGCCAUUGCCGCCUCUGAGGAGCCCGGAUUCCUCCUUCCCUGUUGAUCGGAUCGGAUCGGAGAGCUCGAACUCUUCUCUUCUCUAGUUCUCCUAGGCGGGGAAGAAGACGCGGAUCGGCUCCGCACUCGCUCGAUCGCUUUCGAAUGAGGUAGAAAUCGUCGUUUUUGGUCUCGCAUUGACGUGUUUUCUUGGUUAUUUUCUUAAAUGGAUCAGAAAAUCUUCGGUCGAUCGCUCUUUCGAGUGGUCCGUGAGCUAAUUUUGCUGAAGAAUUCGGUUAUUUUGAUGUUGUAAUGAGCUAAUUUUGGUUAAAUCUGUUGCAGGAUCGGGACGAAGGUGGAUGCGGAUGGUUGAAGAUAACGCCAGAUAAGGUGAUUUGGUGGUUUUCUUUAAAAGAUGUUUCUUGUGUUGAUGGUAUACUAGUUUUAGUCACAUUUUUGGGCAAAUGCAGGAGAAAUUUGAAGAGAAUGACGAUUACUGUGUCAUCUACCUGAAGCUUUGGGCUUCGAUCAACUUCGUCUAGUAAGUUACUGGUAAGAGAGAUAAACUUUCUGGUGUAUUCUGAGCUGGUAAUGGACUGAUUCAGCAACAGCAUGAAAGAACAUUUAACAUGAUUUGCGAGAUUAUUUAUGUGCAAGAUUUAUCCUAAUUUGUGAUAUUAUGUAUUCUUUUAAUCUGCUCAAAAUAAGAAUUAUAGAUACAUAAAAUGUGGCUCGUUAAAACUGAUGUUAUGUGUAGCCACCAGCUCACGAGUUGAUAUUGCUUCUGCAGAAUUCAUAAUCACUGAAAAGAUCUGUUAUAUGUCCUGUUAAAGAAGAAAGUAGGUUGGAGAUCUGAUGAUAAAAGGUACAUUUGAGACGGGUCACUCUAAUUAGUUCAUUUAUGUUUUAGCAAACCAAAUUCAUUCUUGAUAUGAAAUGAUAUUUGUAUGUCAUACAUGUUAUGUUUACAAUUAACAAUGGUUUGUUUUUUGACAGGUUAGAGAAUUAUUUUUUAUUAGAAAAUGAAUGGGAACAGGCCGAUGGAGGUUCAUUAUAUAAACACCGGAUUUCCUUACAGUGUCACUGAAAGCUUUAUGGAUCUGUUUGAAGGCCUUACAUAUGCUCAGGCCGAUGUUGCUCUCGCAGAAGCUUUGCAGGAUCAGGUAGCUAAAAGAUCAGCACAUUGAUCUUGUUCAUCUCAUUAAGGAAUUUGAAUUUUUACUACUUUUAACUAUCAAAUCAUGUUAGACAUCUAUUUUCUCGUUGAUACAACAUUUCCUAGCUGACUAGCUUUAUAGCUUUUGGAGAUGGUGAGUGCCUUAAUAAUAAUACAAAACUUUUAGGUCCUGGGUCUUUCUUUGGACUCAUUGUUUGAUCUUUUAUUAGUUAUUAAUGAAAGAUUCUUUGAAAAUAAAUAAUUUUGAUUACUUGUAAAUCGAUUUGAUAUGCUAGCUGUAUAACACUCCCCCAAUGAGUAGGAAGGUUCACAAGGGCCUUCUAAUAUGAAGACUAGUUUUAUAACGUAGAAACUGUGUUUUUAUGCUGCUCUUUGGUCUGCUAAUGCUAAUAUUUUGUCAAGUAAGGCCAUUAGAACAUUCUCCCAAUGCAGAAAAAUAUUUAAUUUCUUCACUGGAAUGAAUAAUUCUUGCUUUAGUUGUAGUCAUGCUUUGAUUCUUUGUUUUUAACAGUAUCAUGAAAUCUAGUAGCUGGUAACUCAAAACGUAUCAAACCCUGGAUUAAUGUGCUGAGAAAUUUGUUUUCCCUGUUAUUAUCACCUUCAAAAUAUGCUUUUCACAAUCUUUAGAUGACUAAAUGCUAAUAGAUGUUUAUUUUGGUGAUCCAUAUGUUCUGUUGUUUAUAACCAGGGCAAUCCAUACUGGCCAAUGAUGCACGCUGGUUCAUACAAAUAUAGUUUUACUCCCUCAGGAAGUAGUUCUUAUUAUAGUUUUAGCCAUUUGUACGACAUACAUGAUUACAUACAUAGAUCUGAUGGAGGAAGGAGGGUGUGGGACAACCCUGCAGCUUUAAGCACUGUAGAUGCUCCGCAGGUAGUUGUGCAUAGUGGUGAAGGUCCUAAUAAUAGUACGACCUCUCGCACUGAAGAAUGUAAGUUUGUCCUACUAUUCUUUUAUUAUUACUAAUUACAACAUCUUAUGUGCUUCGUAGAAACUCAAGUUAAAACUUGGAUGGAGUUUGAGAAUAGUCGUUCUUUCUAAAGCACUGUCUAUCAUACUCAUUUAUGAAGGCAUUUAGGUAUUGCAUGUACUUAAGUGUCAAACAAUAGACCUUACAGUUACAUUAUGGCUAUAAAUGAUGCUUGAUAAUGUAUUUUGACCAAUUUAAUAAACUUGCUUGACUUGAAUAGGUUGUUGGAGAUUUUUUUCCUUUUAUGAUUUGUUGUUGGAUUCUGUCUUGGCAUUCAAUUCUAUUUUACUAUUUCAUAAGUAGGGUCAUUUGAGUUUUCAACCAGCCAUCUGAAAGUUGUUAGAUUAUAUUUAUGUUACUAUUUCAAGCAAUUGUAGAUGGAAUUGACUUAUCAAUAGUGGGCUGCCUACCCUAUAGGAUAAACGUCUGAAUUUGUCAUAAAUAUUCUAACUUUGAGAUAUGGAAAACAAAAGGAUGCUAAUCAAGAAUUUAAGUGCCCAUCAACAUGGGCCAUAUCCACCAUGCUGUAUUGUGCCAACAAGAUAUUGGUAUGAUACAGCCUCUGUACCAAUGGCAUAACUCAAAACUCUCUUUUCUUUGAAUUAGUGAGUAAUUUUCUCAAUAAAGUUCAAAGGAAUUGAUAAAGAUACAUAAUAAGCAAUUAGAAUAUUUUAUUGCUAAAGAAAAUAAAUAUUUCAUGCUAUUAUGUUUAGGCAUAUAUGUCCUUUUUAUGACCUGCAUGCAUCGGCACGGCCCAACAUGCAUCGUGUCAUAUCGUGCCAGUAAGUUUUCGGCUCGAUACCGUGCCACGACACUUAAAUCCUUCAUGCUAAUCCAAAUUCAGCAUCAAAUUGAGAGAUCAGUCUCUAUUAUGGUCGUGAAAUAAUAUGUGCCCAACAUCCACUAUUGCAAUAUAUGGCACAUUUGGAGUUGUCAGAACUACAUGGUUCAACUAGGUAAUAUGCCAGUGCAAGCGUGCAUAUAUCGAAAAGUACUCAAACAAGCAAGAUAGGCAUAUUUCACUAGACCAUUGUGGGUAGAUCUUACUAAAUUUAAUAUUACUUCCAAUUCUGUAGAUUUAGUUAUCUAGACUCAACCAAUUUGUAUGAUGACAAACUAAUUUGAUCAAAUAAUUUAAAAGGUUAAUUGGGCUGCUUAAUCAAGUUAACAGAUUGGUUGUCAGUUGACUCAGUUCAGUUAAGUCUAGCUUAGACAACUUAAUGAGUUGAUUAUGUCAGAUAACUGGAUCGAAUUUGUAUAAAAUGGAAGAAUACGACAGGUCAAUUUGUUUAGAUCCAAUAAAAUCAAACCUAGAUCGGUUUUGGCUCACUAAAAUGUACUCAGGCUUAGACUAAGUGAAUAGGUUUAGGCUAGCUGGAACCUUUAUAUCAACUCGAAAUUUUUUCCUAUUGUUAAGCAGAGAUGGCUUAAGGAUUUCAAUGAAUUGGUUUACUUAAUAUUGACUCAUUGACUGGAUCAAGAUAGCUAGAUUAUAUCCAGUUAUCCAAUCAAAUAGAACCCAGCUAAUCUAUCCAGUAUGUACAUGCUCUGUUCUCUGUUUAAUCACCCCAAACAAAUGUUGUUACGUCAUUGACUCCUUCCCACUAUCUGUUGGCAGCUUGCUAACAUGGUAUUGGGCUCCUACAUCCUUGUGUCUGCAUGUGAAGUUAUGCCAAGUUAUGCAUGCACCAUCUGUGUCUCUCUGUGCUGCAGAUGUCCUGCUCAGUGCUGCCAUAUGCCUCCAAACAAGAGGCUUCUAUGCUGCAGCUGCAUUCUGCUUUUUGGCAAGUGCAUGCCAUGGCAAGUAAAUCUUCAGCUAUCAACGUAAUCGAUUUUGCCAUCUUCAUCUGUCUCUAUCACUCAACUCCUUAUACCCACUUUUCCUGGUAUCUAUAUUGCCUUUAUAAGUGACGGAAGUAAAGAGUCCUUGCUAGAUCUCUCUUUUGAAUGAUUAGUAUGGAAAGACUAAGAUGUUGGGCUACAAACGAUGAGGCCAAGUAUUUCACAGGCAAAGUUGAUGUUGAAGUGGCCAAUUUCCUAACAGCUGUACGUUGGUGAGGAAAUGAUUAGAUAAUGUACCAUUCAAUGCAAGAUAAAAUAACCUUUUAUUAUGUGGGAUUAGAUUGGGGCCAAUUUUCUUUAUAAAGUGGGCAUGCUUGCCUUUUGCAGUAGCAGAUUUGAACUCCCUGUUAAUAUAAAUCUUGGUGCUGCUACCUGUCUACUUACUGGAACGAGGGAGUUACUCCCUUCCUAGAUUUCUUUCGCAGAGUCUAUUUCUUUGUGGUAUUAAAUUUGAUAAGCUAACUUCAUAGGAAAAGGAUUAUUACCAUUUAGCAGAAUCACAAAACCAUUCUAUUAUUUCUCUUUGAAAAGGAAAAUUCAAGUAUUUUACACAUCUUGUGAUGCAAGAAAGAAACAAGCAAGUAGGCAUACAUUGUUCCCUUGUUCCUUCAUAGUUGCUUAUUUCUUCUUCCUGAUGAGUGAUGAUUUAUUUUGGUAGCUUUUGAUAGUUAUUUGACUAUCCAUACUCUAUUAAAAUGACUUUCCAUACUCUAUUAAAGUGAAAUAUGCGUUGUUCAUUUAUUUUUCUUACUUGCAGGCAUUAGAGUACCCCAAAAUACAACGAGUUCUCAGGUGUGUGGAUCUCUCAAAAGUACAUCCUGAUUAUAAUUAUCAAUGCUUGCGCAUUAUCUAAUGAGAUUAUAUAGCUACUUUUUAAAUUCUAGAUUGCUUAAACUGAAGUCUAUGCUUCUUCUUGCCAUUAUUGAACUCUUUUGUACUAAAUAAUGAUACUUUACUUUCUUAAAUUGUUAAUAAUAUGCAAUUUCUACAUAGCUCUUAUGUGUCUGUUGGUUCUAAACCAAGGAUUAAAGUGCUGCGGUAUGGAGGUAUGCCGUUGUUUUUCUAGCACAAUACGGCACAGGAACGCUUCCGUACCAAUACAUGGCACACAUGCGUGCCGAUGAGUACGCAUGACCUCCUAAUGGCACACUUUAGGAUGGGUUAAUUUUAGUAUUUUUGGUCCUAAUCAGCUCAAAUAAUGUUAUUUUGUAAGGUUUAGUCAAAUAGUUAUAAAUAUUGACUAUAUAUAGGUUAUUAUACUCACCAAUUAAAUAGUGGUAAGCUUUUUUAUAUAUAAAGUACAGCUAUGUCAUAUAGAGAAUCAAAAUUAAAACAUAAUAAUAAAAUUUACAAGUACAAUAAUUAUAUAAAUUUACAUCUUUACAAAGAGAUGGCUGUUUAAUUCCAAAUAGAUUGUCGCUGUGGAUUGUAAAAAUUUGUUAGUUCUAUCCAUAAAAAUUUAGUAAUAAAUUAUAUGACAAAUAAAUUAAAUAAAUUAAGUAUCAAUUGAUUUAAUUUAGCUUUUAGUUUUAUCAAUAUUUUUAAUUUUCUAACUCUAAAAAUAGAAUUUUAUGUUAGAUGUGCCUCGAAAUUUAGUUAUUGAGUUCGAUUUUGUGCCGCCGAAAGCUUCCGGUGCGACAAAUUUUGGAAAACAAUUUGUGAAUAAAAAGUGGAUGUCUAUAUGGGGGGCUCUGCCCCCUGCAGUAUGGAUCUGGAUCUGAAAAUUAAAAAUUUGACCAUAUAAUAAUUAAAUGAAGAUCUAUUUUUAACUUUUUGUAAACUAUAUACUAAAAAAUUGCCUAAUUUUAUAUUUCUUCAAAAAAUGAGCUUUACAAAUUAGAAAUAUUCAAAAUGUAUAACAAAAAUUUAAAUUAUAACUCUUGUACUUAAUAAGUAGAUUUUCGAUUUGCAAUUUCUUUGCCUCUUUUUUAAGCAACGGAAGGAAAGAUAACACAAAAGUCCACCGAAAGAAAAAGAAAAACUACCCACGGUGUGAGACUAAGAUAGUCCUAUAUAUAAUAUAUAAUAGGGCUAAGACUCUUAACCCAGCUUAAGCAUUUUUGAUAAUGGUUAGGCCCAAGAGGUUAAGAGAGUUAAGCGUAUUAGGACGGCAGUUGUCCUAGGAUAGAAGACCCCCUGGAAAGUUGGGGUGUCACACAGGCAUCACUGUUGGGAGAUGAUGUCACAAAUUAGAGGUAGUCUCUUUUGAACUUGAAAGCUGUGAAGUUACAGAGAAAGUGAAAACAAAAAAAAAAUCCAAAAGCAGGUUAAUUUGUAGUUAUGGUUAACCAGUUGAUGAUAAGCGAUUGACUGAGUGGAACUUAGUUUGUUUGUAGUCUGUACCAUACAACAGGGUAGGCAUAGACAUGGCAGCUUUGACUAAGCCAGUACAAUUGUCUGGUUUUCCAGUGCAACCAUUGGGUUCAACAGGCUUAAGCAGUUUAUUAACCAAUAGUGGGUUUGUGGGUGGAUCAUUAUAUCGAUUUGAUCAUAUGACCUUUUCAUAGUUCAGCAGACAUUAUUAGUGAGGUUUCUUUUUUAUGAUUUUGUUUUGUCUUUUACAUGCUUAUCUGUAUUUUUAUCCCUUUUUUUUUUUUCAAAUUGCAUUUGGAGAGAGUAUUGGGCUGCACAAAUCUGUAUUCUUGUCUAUAAUUUGACAUAUACAUGUACCAAAAUAAUAUAUCUUAUAGAACCUUCGAUUUUCAUGCAGGUUAUCUGGCAAGACAACAUUGAUCCUGAUAAUAUGACCUACGAGGUUUUAAAACUAAACAUUUCCUUGUACAAUACCUUCUGUAUGCCUUUUUUUGAUGUAUCAUUCUAGUGAUAUAUAUAUAUAUAUAUAUAUAUAUAUAUAUAUAUAUAUAGAGAGAGAGAGAGAGCAGAGAGAGAGGAGAGAGAGAUCCGGCUGCUAUGCUAUCGAUUAGCACCCCAAGCACUUGGUGCUAUCAAGUUUUAUGCCAUUAGAUUAACCCCUUUGAUAUUUCUAUCCGUUAGAUUAUACUAUUCAACAAUCAACCAUUCAACCUUAGGGGCCCACAUCAUCCUAACCGCACAUUUCUCAUCCAAGGGCUAAAAAACUAAUAGCACCAACAACUUGGUGCUAUUAAUAGUAUACCAGCCUAGUUCUAUAUAUAAUAUAUAUAAUAUAUAUAUAUAUAUAUAUAUGGACUACGCUAUAGUAAGGUUUUAAGUGCCGUCGCACGGGUCGUAUCCACCGUGCUGUACGUGCCAACAAGAUACCGCAGCGAUACAGAUCCCGUCGAUGGCAUAGCUCAAAAUCCUCUAUUCUUUAAAUUAAGUAGUAAUUUCCUCAAUAAAGUUCAAAAGAUGUGAUAAAAAGGUAUAAUAAAUAGUUAGAAUAUUUUGUUGCUAAAAGAAAUAAAUAUUUCAUGCUAUUACGUGCGGCAACCACAAAUUUUUUUGACGGCGGACCUUGCACGGCUCGCACGCACCGGCAGUACGUGCCGGCAAGUUUCCAGUACGAUCCCGUGCCACGGCACUUAAAUCCUGGGCUAUAGUGCUACAAUAGCACCAAGUACUUGGUGUUACCAAGUUUUCCGCUAUAGAUCUACUCCUUUGGCCAUUUCCACCCUUAGAUUAUAACUAUUUCACCAACACUCACUAAACUUUAGGGGACCACUAUCAUCCUAACUGCACAUCCUUAAUCCAAGGCCAAAACCUAAUUGCACCAAUGACUUGGUGCUAUUAAUAGUAUAGUAGCCUAAUUCCUCUCUCUCUCUCUCUCUCUCUCUAUAUAUAAUAUAUAUAUAUAUAUAUAUAUAUAUAUAUAUAUAUAUAGGCUAGGGCUACUAUACUCUUAUGAGUAGGCCUCUUUUGUACUCAUAAGUUUUCGCCAUUGGAUGAACAGAUGUACGGUCAGGAUGAUAGUGUCCCAGUUUCGGUUAAUAGUGGUCCCCUAGGGUUGAUGGGGGGUUGGUUGAGUAGUAUGAUCUAACGGGUAGAAAUGAUCAAAGUAGAUCUAAUGGUAAAAAAUUUAUGAGUACAAAAUGACUAUACUCAUAAGAGUAUAUAGCCGACUUUAUUAUAU